rnacentral:rRNA from 1 species
GACGAACGCUGGCGGCGUGCUUAACACAUGCAAGUCGAGCGGAGAGGCCCUGGGUUGGUGGGGUGCUCGAGUGGCGAACGGGUGAGUAACGCGUGAGUAACAUGCCCUGGACUUUGGGAUAACGUCAGGGGACUGGGGCUAAUACCGGGUAGGAGAUCCUGCUGCAGGGUGGGGGUUGGAAAGUUUCGGCGGUAGGGGAUGGAAUCGCGGCUUAUGAGCUUGUGGGUGGGGUAGUGGCGUACGACGGCUUUGCGGGGUAGCCGGCCUGAGAGGGUGACCGGCCCCAUUGGGACUGAGAUACGGCCCAGACUCCUCCGGGAGGCAGCAGUGGGGAAUAUUGCACAAUGGGCGGAAGCCUGAGGCAGCAACGCCGCGUGCGGGAUGACGGCCUUCGGGUUGUAAACCGCUUUCGCCUGUGACGAAGCGUGAGUGACGGUAAUGGGUAAAGAAGCACCGGCUAACUACGUG